AUUUUUCCAGUGAUUAUUGGUAGCUGUCUCCAUAAUUGCAAUGGUCUGACAGUUGCACCUUGUAACCAAAGUCUAAUCCAAUCCACAGGCUUCCUGCAAAAGACCCACCCAGGAAUGUUUGGGGAUUUCUGUGUAACCUGGAGAGAGCUACUAAAUUCUGGAACUCUUUAAGACUGCUCAGACUCUUUGCACUAUGCUGAAAAUAAUUUCCAACUAUUCUAAGGAGUUACUAAGUUACUUAAUAAAGGAGCUUUUAUACCUGGAUUAAGGUAUCAGACCAAGAGAAAAGCAUCAAGACCUGGUUGGAUGAUGUAAAAGGAUGUUGCGUAAGAAUCUGAAGUCAUUGUACACUGACGAAUUACACAAGCCCUUGAGCCCUACCAGUGCGAUCCAGGGGAGAAUGUUCACUGUGUGGGCUCCUUCACCUCUCAAUCAACUCUGAAUAUCUACAAAUCAAGUAUUCAAGUGGCCUAGGAACUGCAGGCAGCGUGUUUAAUCUACGAGUGGACAUUUCACAGCCUCCUUAGGGAUAGGGGCGAUGUAGGAUAUACCAGGAUUUGCAGUUUCCUGGACAUCAGUCCCCUCACCUAACACAAGAGACUUGGAUGCCUCUCACCGUGAGUCUCCGCAAACAUUUCCUGUGCGCCCACGGAGAACGGUAUGAGAAAAAUGCUCUAAGAGACGGGAGCCGAUCGGGGUUGCCGGCUGGGAGUCUGCGCCUUGGAGAGGGGGCAGGCUGCUCGCCGUCCACCUGUGCGACUUCUGCGGCGGACCACCCCGGGAGAGAAGCAGGGCUGCGGGGCAGCGGGCGCAU